rnacentral:rRNA from 1 species
UACGUAGGGUGCGAGCGUUAAUCGGAAUUACUGGGCGUAAAGCGUGCGCAGGCGGUUCGUUGUGUCUGUGGUGAAAGCCCCGGGCUUAACCUGGGAAUGGCCAUGGAAACUGGCGAGCUGGAGUGUGGCAGAGGGGGGUGGAAUUCCGCGUGUAGCAGUGAAAUGCGUAGAGAUGCGGAGGAACACCGAUGGCGAAGGCAGCCCCCUGGGUUGACACUGACGCUGAGGCACGAAAGCGUGGGGAGCAAACAGG